rnacentral:tRNA from 1 species
GGGCCGGCGCGGUCCGUUCCGGCCGGGACGCCUGGUUCCGGCCCGGGCCCGGAUGCAGGUGCGCAGCCUGUCGCGGCUGUUCCGCGUGGUCGACGGCCUG